UUGGUGAUGUUAUAUACGUGGAACUCUUUAAGGAUGCUGAAGGAAAGUCAAUGGGUUGUGGGUAAGUAACUUACUGUUCAGUGGCUAUGCUGCCAUGAUGUAUAAUUUAGCUAGUUUCCUGGCAGAGGGAGAGAAUUGUUUCUGACCAAGGGUUCACCACACUUAAGAAUUUUCAAUUUGACCACCAAAGUUUCUCACUAGAUUCUAGUUACCAUGUUUCAAGGUUUUGGUAAUAGUUUUUAUCUUGUUUUUUAAUGGGUGGAUAUGCCACCACCUCAGAAUAACAUCACAUAGAUUUGUCAACAGUGCUGUAGAAUACCGAUGGGGAUGCAAAAAUCUGCAGAUACUGGAAUCUUGUGCUGGAGGAACUCAUCAGGUCAGGCAGCAUCUGUGGAGUGAACGGACAGACGAUGUUUCGGGAUCCUUCUUCAGACUGAUGGAGUAGGGAUGGGUGGCAAGAUCAGAAAAAAGAGGUUGGGGAAGGAAAAAGGCUGUGUUGUGGAAUUCAAAACAGAAGAUUUAGUCGCAAAGGCUUUGGAUGUUAUGAACAACUAUGAACUUGAUGGAAGAGAGCUUAACAUAAAGCAGGAUGCUGAAGGAGAACAUGCUCGCAAAGCGGUGCAGCGUGGAGGAGGUGGUUCAUACCAUGGUGGACCUAGGCCAGAUAUCAGUUCAUCAGUUCUGAAUUUGCCACUUCAUCUUAUCAACAAUCCAAACAUACCUGCCGAAGUUCUCAACGCGCUGCAGGCUGGACGAUUAUUACCAACUGUAUUUGUUGCCAAUCUUGAUUUUAAAGUGGGUUGGAAAAAGCUGAAAGAAGUAUUUGCCAUGGCUGGGACGGUAAAACGUGCAAAUGUCAAAGAAGGCAGAGAUGGCAAGAGCCGUGGCUUAGGGACUGUGACAUUCGAACUGCCGCUCGAAGCCAUUCAAGCUGUCGCUAUGUUUAAUGGACAGCUCUUGCUUGACAGACCAAUGCUUGUGAAAAUGGAAGCCAGAUCCCUUCCACAUGAUGACUUUUGUUCUGUGGCCCAGAUUCCUCAAUUGCCUAGUGGACUCGGUGGCAUUGGAAUGGGACUUGGACUUAGUGGCCAGCCGAUUGUUGUGAAUGAAAUAAAAAUGAACAAUGCAAUGGGCAUCAUGGCAUCUGGAGGAAGUGGAAUGGAUGGAACUGCCUCUGGGGGAAUAAACCAAAUGGGUGGAGGAAUAAGUGGUUCCACUGGUUUCAGUGGUGAUAUGGGCGUGAUGAACAAUGUAGGAGGCUACGGUGGUGGACCCAUGGGAAGCAUGGGCAACAUGGAUCGAAUGGCAGGUAUGGGUACAGUUGAAAACUUCAAAGGAAAUAUGGCCCCAGGAAUGGGAAACAUGGGAGGAAUGGGCAGCAACAUGAGUGCUGUUGGCGGAAUGGGCAGUGGUGUGGCUGGAAUGGGAAGCAGUAUGGGAGAAAUGUAUCGUGCUGGAAUGGCAUCCAAUGCUAUGGGUGGUAGUUCUGAUCGAGAAUUUGGAAGAAGUGAUCUGGGUGUGAAUCGUGGUUUUGGGGAUUCAUUUGGUGGAAUGGGAGGUGGAAUGGGUGGAAAUUUCGGAGGACCCAUGUGCGGCGGAAUGGGGAACACUUGUAUGGACAUAAUGGCUUCUGCAUUAAGAGGUGGAAUGGGUGGAAAUUUCGGAGGACCUAUGUGCGGCGGAAUGGGGAACACUUGUAUGGACAUAAUGGCUUCUGCAUUAAGAGGUGGAAUGGGUGGAAAUUUCGGAGGACCUAUGUGCGGCGGAAUGGGGAACGCUUGUAUGGACCCAAUGGCUUCUGCAUUAAGAGGUGGAAUGGGUGGAAAUUUCGGAGGACCCAUGUGCGGCGGAAUGGGGAAUGCUUGUAUGGACCCAAUGGCUUCUGCAUUAAGUGUAUUGGCUGCUAUGAAUAGCAUGGCUGGAGGCAUGGCGAUGGGUAUGGAUUGCAUGGGGUCCAAUCUUGAUCGAAUGGGACCGGGAAUGGGACCUGGAAUGGGAGCAGGGACUGAAAUGAAUAUGAAUCAUGGAUUUGGAAGUGUGAACACGGGAUCAAUGGGAAGUGGAUUAAAUGACCGUUCAAGUGGUUUUCAAAGCUCUCAGAUCUUUGUAAGAAAUCUUUCUUAUAAUUUAACAUGGCAGAAGCUAAAGGAAAGGUUCGAUAAAUUCGGUCAAGUAGUUUUUGCAGAAAUAAAAAUGGAAAAUGGCAAGUCCAAGGGGUGUGGGAUUGUGCGGUUUGAUUCCCCAGAAGUUGCAAAAAAAGCCUGCAUACUGAUGAACGGCGCAAAGAUUAAUGGGAGAGUGAUAGAUGUGCGCAUGGAUCCCAAUGCGUGAAUGAAGACUAUGCCAUGUAUAGGAAGAUACAACUUGACAUUAACUUUAUUGUUUUUUUUUUUUGUACUGAAGUAAUUUCCAACCGCUGUUAUGUUAUGUGAACUAUAAUGUCAUUUUAAAGUUUGCCAGCUCAAAUUGGAUAUUGACUGUUGUAUGUUGAUGUAAUUUCUGUUAUCGGACUGUUUUUAUAUAUAUAUAUAUAGAGAGAGAGAGAGAGCGAGAGAGAGAGAGUAAUUUAGUUGACACAUUUGGUCACCUGUUUGAAUGGAUACAUUUUUCAAUAAAAUGUUGUCUAAAUUUACUUGAAUUUUUUAAAUAAUGAAAAGAAUCGAGAAUUGUUAUGAAAAUCUCCACUUGAAGAACUGCGUGCAAGGCUUAUAUACAUUUCCCUCAAAGUGUAAGGCUCUUUGUAGGGAAGCACCAGGUCUCAAUUCAGAUCUUUGCAAAAUGUAACUGGAUUUGUUUGUGCCAAUGGUCUAUACUCUAUAUUUAUUAGUUCCCCCUAAAAUCCAGAGAUUAUAAUCCGGUGCUCCACAAACUGAAUACCAAUACUUUUAAUUUUUUAGAAGAUGGACACAAAGUGCUCGAGUAACUCAGCGGGUCAGGCAGCAUUUCUGUAUAAAAAGGAGAUAUGUUUCGUGUCGGGAUCUGCCUUCAUACAGAAGGGGUAAGAAGAAUUGUCUUGGCCCGAAACGCCACCCAUUCUUUUUCUCCAGAGAUGCUGCCUGACCAGCUGAGUUACUCCAGCACUUUGUCUAUCUUCGGUAUAUACCAGCAUAUGCAGUCCCUUUCUACACACUUUGAAUGUUUACAUUGUUUCAGUGUCAAAACCCUUGUUGAUAGUUGCUUUGGUUUUGACCAAAACCUUUUGACGUCUUAAGUGUUACGCAAUGAGAAUAUAGUCAUCUUGUACUUAAAUCCACUGAAAAUUUAAUUCCCAAGGAUUUUUUUACUUAAUCUCGCAAACUUACAAUGCACAUCGAUGGUCAAUGUUGCGUGCUUAAACCUGUAUUGACUGGAUGAGUACAUUGGGAAAUUGCAUUUGAUUGAAUUAGGUGGGAUUAGUGCAUUUUUAAUAAAAAUGUAUAUAAUAAUGGUGGUAUAAGAGUUUACUGCUUAAGCGCACAAAACUAUUUGGAACCCUUCAGUGAAUAAUUUAGGAAUUAUAGAACUGGUAAUCGAUAAACUAAUUUUGUCCUGUUGCUUGUUUACUUCCAGGAAAAAUUGGUCACUUUGAAUUUAUUGCCUUAGUUCUCAAGUACAGUGCCAAGCUUAGUUCCAUGAAGGAUAAAACAUUGGUACAGUUUCAAUUACUAAUUAAAAGAGGAUCCUGGCAAGCCGUGGCCAUACCCGACAGCAGGCCCAGCUCGCCUGCUGCAGACCGCGGUGGAGCCCACCGUGGCGACCGGGCUCCACUGCCGUGGGCCAGGAACUCUCCCUGGAAGACCCAGUGGGCCACGGCAUGUGGAGGGGAAUCCUUGGAGCUCCUCCCCGAAGACUGGAGUACCGAAGAGGAGGCGGCCGCCGAUGACGGUCACGAGGAUCAAGGCUGGUUGCAAAGUGAACCGGGGUCUUAUCUCUUGCACCCUCGAGGUCGGCUGUGGGAGACACCCCCAGGACAUGAGCGUGGCCAGGUGAGAAGAGGAACAUCGGUACUCUGAACAAUCCAGCGGCUUGCGUGUGGACCAGAUUUUGGAAAUGGUGCCAAAUCUGGUGACAGAAAAUGUCACUGUUUUGCACAUGUGACAAUAAAGCACCUAUUGUAUUGCU